rnacentral:lncRNA from 1 species
GCAAAUAUGGUUAGUAAACCAACAAAUUUGCUGUCAAGUUAAAAAAUAUGUCAUGAAAUGACAAUAAGAUACCCUUAAAGGAAACCUUAAUUAAAGAAAUGGCUUGACUACCUAUGAAAAAAAGUUAAAUAUUUGCUUUCCCUUUUCUUUAAUAAAUUAAUUAUUCAUGUAUUCUCUUUUUAUAGUGUUGUGAAGUUUUUCUGAAAUUGUAUGUUUUUUAGGGGAAGGUUAAGAAUUGAAUUACUUGGGUUUUUGUUUUGUCCUACUGUACCUACUAGAUAAUAUAUAAAAUAUUUCUAUGUAUUUCUCAUUUCCUGUUUACAGAUUUUCAGUCCUUUUAUUACAAAUCUCAUUUGGUCCUUAUAUGUUAUAAUUGUUUGUGAUACAUGUAUAUUUAGGAGUUUUUGUUCAUAUAAUCAAUGUCAAUUUUUUUCUUUUUCUCAUCUUCUGAUCAGGAUUUCUGGCAGGUACCGACUCAGCAGCAUGUGCUUUAAAUUAAUUAAUGUUUCAAAACCCAUAGUUAUGGUGCAGGGAUAAA